rnacentral:rRNA from 1 species
AUUGAACGCUGGCGGCAGGCCUAACACAUGCAAGUCGAACGGUAACAGGAAGAAGCUUGCUUCUUUGCUGACGAGUGGCGGACGGGUGAGUAAUGUCUGGGAAACUGCCUGAUGGAGGGGGAUAACUACUGGAAACGGUAGCUAAUACCGCAUAAUGUCGCAAGACCAAAGAGGGGGACCUUCGGGCCUCUUGCCAUCGGAUGUGCCCAGAUGGGAUUAGCUAGUAGGUGGGGUAACGGCUCACCUAGGCGACGAUCCCUAGCUGGUCUGAGAGGAUGACCAGCCACACUGGAACUGAGACGCGGUCCAGACUCCUACGGGAGGCAGCAGUGGGGAAUAUUGCACAAUGGGCGCAAGCCUGAUGCAGCUAUGCCGCGUGUAUGAAGAAGGCCUUCGGGUUGUAAAGUACUUUCAGCGGGGAGGAAGGGAGUAAAGUUAAUACCUUUGCUCAUUGACGUUACCCGCAGAAGAAGCACCGGCUAACUCCGUG